rnacentral:rRNA from 1 species
CUACGGGUUGCUGCAGUAAGGAAUAUUGCACAAUAGGGGAAACCCUGAUGCAGCAACGCCGCGUGGACGAAGAAGGCCUUCGGGUCGUAAAGUCCUUUUCUGAGGGAAGAGGAAGGACGGUACCUCAGGAAUAAGUCUCGGCUAACUACGUGCCAGCAGCCGCGGUAAAACGUAGGAGGCGAGCGUUAUCCGGAUUCACUGGGCGUAAAGGGCAAGUAGGCGGUUGUUUAAGUUAGGUGUGACAUCUCUCGGCUUAACUGGGAGGGAGCGCUUAAAACUAGGCAACUAGAGGGCGGAAGAAGGGGGUAGAACUCCAAAUGUAGCGGUGGAAUGCUCAGAUAUUUGGAAGAAUACCAGUGGCGAAGGCGACCCCCCGGUCCGUGCCUGACGCUGAGAGGCGAAAGCUAGGGUAGCGAACGGGAUUAGAUACCCCCGUAGUC